CUCUUUGUGAUUCCCAAUGAAUGUGAUUGUAGCUUGACUUUGCCUAGCAUAUGUUAAUUGGACUACAAUUGUCUUUGAUAUUGAAUGCGCACACUGAAAUACAUAUUUUAUCUUUCAAAAUGAAUCCGUUAUAUAUUGUGAUGUAUACUUUGAGAGAGACGAAGCUCGACUGCACAAAAACCCUGUUGUUGUUUGAUUAUAGCUGUUGUACCUUGUGCGUGUAAACAUACUUAGCAAGUGCACUUUUGGCUGAACUAUGCCUUUAACGAGUCUUUGUUAGAUUUGUUGAUGAGUAAUUGAUCACUCAGGCAUCAGCAGCAGUCGGACGGCUCUCUGUUGGCUGGUCCUAUAACAUUGCAGGAUUCUGGCUGGUUUCUGUGUGUGGCUACAAGAGACCGUGACAGAGAUCACCGCUACAUUUACCUGUCUGUCUCAGGAGCAUCUCAGAACGGUGGAGGAAUAUCAGAGACAGAUUCUUCCCAGUCCUACACAUCACAUUCAUCUUCCAGGUUCAACAUUGACUAUUCGUCUCUGGUCGAGGCUCGAGCAGGUCAGACGGCCAAACUGCGGUGCGCGGUGCUGCCAGUCUCUUCCAUGCAUGCGGUGACCGUUCACUGGAGCAGAGCUGGAGAGCCGCUCAACUCGCUCAGGUGCCUUCAUCUGCAUGCGUUUCUGUGACUCUCUUUCAAACCC